rnacentral:rRNA from 1 species
CUUGGUCAUUUAGAGGAAGUAAAAGUCGUAACAAGGUUUCCGUAGGUGAACCUGCGGAAGGAUCAUUAAAGAAUUGCCCCAUUUUUUGAAAUGGGUUCUAUUCCCAAACCGUGUAUACAUACCUUUGUUGCUUUGGCAAGCCGUCCUUCGGGCGCAGCUUCGGCUGAGAGCGCUUGCCAGAGGACCCCAACUCUUUUGUUUAGUGAUGUCUGAGUACUAUUUAAUAGUUAAAACUUUCAACAACGGAUCUCUUGGUUCUGGCAUCGAUGAAGAACGCAGCGAAAUGCGAUAAGUAAUGUGAAUUGCAGAAUUCAGUGAAUCAUCGAAUCUUUGAACGCACAUUGCGCCCCUUGGUAUUCCGAGGGGCAUGCCUGUUCGAGCGUCAUUAUGACCACUCAAGCCUAGCUUGGUAUUGGGGUUCGCGGUCUCGCGGCUCUUAAAAUCAGUGGCGGUGCCAUCUGGCUCUAAGCGUAGUAAUUCUCUCGCUAUAGGGCUCCGGUAGUUGCUUGCCAAAACCCCCCUACUUCUCACGGUUGACCUCGGAUCAGGUAGGGAUACCCGCUGAACUUAAGCAUAUCAAUAAGCGGAGGA